rnacentral:rRNA from 1 species
AUGAUAACAGCCGAGCCCGUGGGGGGUGUGGUCGCCCCGGGCACCAACAGCAGCGCGCGACGGCGUAUGUGUGGAGGCGCUAGCAGGGCAAGCGUUUCUGUAGCUGGAUUGGAGAGGGGGAGAACAGGGUGGGGGCGAACGAAUGGUCGAGAACGCUUGCGGAAGAGGAAGGGGAUAAGCGAAAAGGAAAGAGGGGCAAGCGUUUCUGUAGCUGGAUUGGAGAGGGGGAGAACAGGGUGGGGGCGAACGAAUGGUCGAGAACACUUGCGGAAGAGGAAGGGGAUAAGCGAAAAGGAAAGAGGGCGGAGCGUGGGAUCAAUAGAACGUGUGUCGACCGGAUACAAACAUUACCCUAUCGAAAAGCAAGUGCCAACCGGAUACAAACAUUACCCUAUCGAAAAGCAAGUGCCAAAAAGCGUCUUAUAUCAUGGAAUGGAUGGAGUAGAUGAGUAG